rnacentral:rRNA from 1 species
UACGUAGGUGGCGAGCGUUGUCCGGAUUUACUGGGCGUAAAGAGCGCGCAGGCGGUCGUUCAAGUCGCGUGUGAAAGCCCCCGGCUCAACUGGGGAGGGUCACGCGAUACUGAUCGACUCGAAGGCAGGAGAGGGAAGUGGAAUUCCCGGUGUAGUGGUGAAAUGCGUAGAUAUCAGGAGGAACACCGGUGGCGAAGGCGGGUCUCUGGGCCGAUACUGACGCUGAGGAGCGAAAGCAUGGGUAGCGAACAGG